rnacentral:lncRNA from 1 species
UUUUAACUCUUUCCCUUAAAUCUCUUUUAGACUUAUGAGAAAUUUGAAUUUGAAUGCUGUAUUGUUUGUCAUGUAAGACAUCAGAAAGACAAAAAGAAAGAAAAAUCUUAGAAUUUUAAUUUACAAACAGAGUAUAUGAGGAUAUGAAAUUCUGAUUUAUUGCUCUGUUUGGUGGGUUAUGUGUUUCAGGUUGCGGUGGCACAUACUAUUGGACAUGUAGCAGCAACUGUGAGCAUGUCGAAAGUUGCAGUUUCAUUCACUCAUAUCAUUAAGAGUGGUGAACCUGCUUUCAGUGUUUUGGUUUCAAGAUUUCUAUUAGGGGAGGCAUUCCCAUUACCAGUUUACUUGUCACUAUUGCCAAUUAUUGGAGGUUGUGCACUUUCAGCAGCAACUGAGCUCAAUUUCAACAUGACCGGUAAGAGAAAAUGAUUACGUUUUCCCCUAUAAUAGAAAUUUUGUACUCAGGCAUUGAGUUUGUGUUGCUAUGUGUUUCAGGUUUCAUGGGGGCCAUGAUAUCUAAUUUAGCAUUCGUGUUUCGAAACAUAUUUUCAAAGAAAGGGAUGAAGGGAAAGUCUGUUAGUGGGAUGAAUUACUACGCAUGUUUGUCAAUGUUGUCUUUAUUGAUUCUUACACCUUUUGCAAUUGCCGUUGAGGGUCCUCAGCUCUGGGCAGUUGGCUGGCAGAAGGCAGUUUCACAAAUUGGACCUAAUUUUGUCUGGUAAAAACUUAUUGCUUUUAUUUGGAUGGUUACACUCUCCAAAUUUUCUUUUUAUGUGUGAUAAGUGAUCUUGUUGCUAAUAAAAAAUGUGUUUAUUUUGAAUUUUCAUAGGUGGGUGGUAGCUCAAAGUGUCUUCUACCACUUGUAUAAUCAGGUUUCAUACAUGUCUCUGGAUCAAAUUUCUCCCUUGACAUUUAGCAUCGGAAACACAAUGAAGCGAAUUUCGGUUAUAGUCUCUUCCAUCAUCAUCUUCCACACACCUGUUCAGCCUGUCAAUGCCCUUGGAGCUGCCAUUGCAAUCCUUGGAACCUUUCUUUAUUCACAGGUAUAUUUUCCCUUUCAAAGUUGUUUUUGAAAUUUUGGGACCAAGGUUUGUUACCUGGCUUUCUAACUCUUUCUUGUUUUAACGGUUAAUAAUGUAUGUUUUGAGCAGGCAAAGCAGUGAGAUUUGAAGAUUUUGGUGAACUUACAUAAACAUAAAAUGUUGAUGUUGCGGAUGAUCCUUAUUGAAGCUACAAUUUUAUUCUUUAUUGAUACUAUCAACUAGUAGAUUUUAUCUAAAUUUCUUUAUUUUUGUACCGUUUUAUUCCUUGAUAGAUAAUAAUAACUAGUAGAUUUUACUUAAAAUUUCUUUCAAUUUUUAUAAAUUGUAAAAAAAAUAAUAAUAAAUUUACUGAAUGUCAUGAUCGAUAGUAUCUAGAAACUACAAAGAAAAAAUGUAAAACAAAAAAAUGUCUAAAAGAACAUAUUAACUAAAGGAAAAUGUUACAUGGCAUGCUAUUAUUUUCGAAAUUGAAAGUCAAACUUAAUAACCUUUCAUAGACAUAAUUAUCUCUUUUUCAAAUAUCCUAUUAACUAAAAUAUCUCAUUCUUGAUUUCAAAAAAUGGUAUAAGUUCGAUCGUUCGAUCAACUUGAACCAGUUUUAAGUGUUUUUCAUGUGAAUAGGAAGGUUUUAGAAUUAUUGAUUUUACCUUUUCUUUAAUAAAAACACUAUUUUAAAAUAAUAGCAUUUUAAUUUUCUUUAAAUAGAUCAAGAACAAUUAAGUUUCGUUUUAUUGAUAUUUUUAUUUACUUUUUAACUUAUGUUAUUUAUUCAAAAAAUACAUAUUUUAUAUAUAAAUAAAUUAGUAGGUAUAAAAAAUACAUGUUUCAAUUUUUUAUUAAUUUGAUUAUAAAUUUUGAAUAUUAAACAUAUAUUAAAAUAACAAAAUAAAUUAAAUUAAAUAAGUAAUUAAAAUCAAACCCAAAUAAAUUAAACCAAUUUUACUCACAUUCAAUCAAUUUAUUCGAUUAAAAAGAAUUAAUACUACUCAUGGUUAGUGCUGCACGCCUUAUUCUAGAGCCCGGUAUGCUUGCAACUUGCUCCAGCCGGAAAGACGUGUCUUGGAGCAACCGGUAAUUCGUUUUAGAAAGGGAUAGAAUGUUUGACAUUGAACCUCCCUGUUUCAUAUCAUGAAUUGAAAUUCAUCGAUGAGAAUGAAAUGGAAAAAGAGCUACGUGCAGUUCUGAGCAAAACAAGUGCUUUGAAGGAAUUUGAAGUACAUCUAUGGAACAAAAAAACGAGUUAUGGAUCUUGGAGAAGAGAAUGAAGUUUCAGGAAAUGGUUUAUUUUAAAUGAAUGACAGAAUCAGACAGAUAAUUAGUGUUGCUUGCUCUGAAUGCAUUGCGAAUGCUGAUAGGUUUUACAUUUGCAAACUUGUGAGGGUAAAGGAUAUGAUGCCAAACUCUUCGAUCAUGGUCUAAUUCCCUAUCCCAAAGGAUCGUGGCCACUUGCAGCCAUGAGGGGUUGGUGAAUUGUUUACAAUAUCACACCCCAAUCACCAAGCGAAAGCCUACACCACUUCAUUGGCUGUUGGGAUUGUUUUGGCAACUCUCUAUGACCCGUCUGCAACUUCCCAUUGGGUCCAAAGGACACGCACCGGCUGCACAUGCGGAAAGCUCACGUGACUAUACAACACUUACAUCCCUUUCCCGCCUAACCCCAACACCAAUUGCUGACCCAGUUUACAGCCCCUUCCGUCCAAUGUCACAACAAAGACACCACGAACAAAACAAAAACUGCCACUGUUGAAAUGUCAAUGCCAAUUGUCCCAACUGGAGCACCUUCUUUUACACCUUGCAGCGGCCGUCAAAACUGAUUUUGCUUUUCCCAGUUAGAAAAUUUUUUGAUCCGUUCAAAUGAUCAACGAUCAGAAACGCAACUUGACAACAAGUGUUGAUAUGGGUCUGUCUCUUUCAGUAAGAUUUUUUUUUUCUUUUCUUCUAGCUUGGAAUCAAUCAACAAAACUCAGGAGAUUGUCUGUACAUGCUCAAUCGUGGGAGCUGCUGCAAGCAAAUUAGCGGUGAAGAAUUGAGAGCAUGGCAUGGGCUGUUACCUCAGUCUGAGAUACAGUUUUUGGGAACUUGAUGGCUGCAUUGCAUCUCUGAUUUGUUCCAAAUUGGAAAUAGAAAUAGUGGCUGCAAUGGUUUCUGUGGGGCAGAAGGAGUGGGAAAAUAUCACGGGAAAGUUCUCAAUCCUUUUGGUUGCAACAAGCUAGCAACCGUGAAUUUGUCAAUCAGGGAGGGGAGCUUGAUUUGACCAUAUAUUCAAGAAACACAGUGGGAAAUUUCAUGCAAGGUUUGCAGCUGGAAAAUGUUUGAGAGAAAAUCAUGGCUGAUAUUUUUUCUAGUUUUCUGAUAGUUACAAGAUUCAGUCAGGACAAAUAGUAUGAAGUCUACGAUUUCAAUUUGCACACAUGUACACGGUGCAUAAAGUGGCAUGUUUUACUAAUGUGGAAAGUCCAAGUCUUUCCUUCCCCUAUCAUUUUCAAUAUUUUUUUAAAAAAUAAAUAAUGGUUUUCGAGAUGGUAAUAAUUCAUGUAUUGUUAGUAUAUAAAUUUAUACAUUAUCACUUCUUAGAAAAAGAAAAAAAUUUAUAUAACAUAAAAUUACAUUUAUUACAAAAAUUAAUGAUAUAUAUAUAUAUAUAACUCUAAUUAAGUAUGAGACUUAUUUAGAUAAAUAGGUACAUUGGAUAUGAAAAGAUUCAAAAGUUGAAAAAUAUAGUAAUAUUCACAUAUAUUUUCAUAAUAAAAAUUAUUUAUUUUAAAAAAUAUUUUAUAACCAAUUAUAAUGUAUAAGUAUUGUAUAUUAAUAUUGCAUCAAAUAUAACUUAUUUUAAAAAUAAAAUUCUCUUGUUUUAUUAUGUUUUCCACUCAAUUUUAGAAAAAAAACACAAUUAUUAGAGACUUAAUAAAAAAUUUAAAAAAUAAGAUAUUUUUUUACAAAAAGAAAAAAAAUACUUUUAUAAUUUCGAAAAUAUCUAUCCGUGAGCAACUAAAAACCAAACCACCAGCGAAAAACCCCUUGCCGCGUCAUACAGUCAUCUUAUUUCCUCUGCUCUCCUCUGUUCUCCCCUAUAAAAUCCCCUCUCUUCUCUGCCACUCUUUUCUCCGCAAGACAAACCUUUCCUUUCCUUCUUGUAUUCUCUUACCUUAUUCUCUCCUCUAGUUAAACUCAAUUCUCUUGCAUUCAUAUUUGAAACUCUGCAUUGUGUUUCUUUAAAAAAAAACCAUGAUUUCUUCAAUAAAACACUCCACAUCUGCUUUCAAUUCCACAAGUUUCUUUUCCAAGAAACGUUCAAUCACCAGGCCACAAUUCUCCCCAUUACCCGUUAUCAAGAACGUCCAUAAUGGCUUCCCCAACCAAUCUUGCUCUUAUCAAAAACCUCUGCACGUUGCCGCCAUUGAGAAUCUUGCAAUAUUGAAAAAAACCCAGCAGAGGAAAAUAGAGUGUCAGGCUUAUGAAGCUGACAGGUCUAGGCCUCUGGACAUAAAUAUUGAGUUACCAGAGAUAAAGAUUGGGAUUUACUUUGCUACUUGGUGGGCUUUGAAUGUGGUUUUCAAUAUAUAUAACAAGAAGGUUUUGAAUGUCUUUCCUUAUCCUUGGCUUACCUCUACUCUGUCUCUGGCCGCUGGCUCUCUUAUGAUGCUUAUAUCUUGGGUCACGAGGGUUGCUGAUGCUCCUAAGACCCAUUUUGAGUUUUGGAAGACCCUUUUCCCUGUAAGUUUUAACUCUUAUAACUCUUUCCCUUAAAUCGCUUUUGGACUUACUUUAAAGAAAAGAUGAGAAAUUUGAAUUUGAAUGCUGUUUUUUUUGUCAUGUAAGACGUCAGAAAGACAAAAAGAAAGAAAAAGCUUGGAAUUUUAAGUUACAAAAUAGAGUAUGUGAAGGUAAGAAAUGCUGAUUUACUUCUCUGUUUGGUGGGCUAUGUGUUUCAGGUUGCGGUGGCACAUACUAUAGGGCAUGUAGCAGCAACUGUGAGCAUGUCAAAAGUUGCAGUUUCAUUCACUCAUAUCAUUAAGAGUGGUGAACCUGCUUUCAGUGUUUUGGUUUCAAGAUUUCUGUUAGGGGAGGCAUUUCCAUUACCAGUUUACUUGUCACUCUUGCCAAUUAUUGGAGGUUGUGCAC